UACAGAGGGUGCAAGCGUUAAUCGGAAUUACUGGGCGUAAAGCGUGCGCAGGCGGUGAUGUAAGACAGGUGUGAAAUCCCCGGGCUUAACCUGGGAACUGCAUUUGUGACUGCAUCGCUGGAGUGCGGCAGAGGGGGAUGGAAUUCCGCGUGUAGCAGUGAAAUGCGUAGAUAUGCGGAGGAACACCGAUGGCGAAGGCAAUCCCCUGGGCCUGCACUGACGCUCAUGCACGAAAUCGUGGGGAGCAAACAGG
rnacentral:rRNA from 1 species